CAGUAGCCGCGGUAAUACGAAGGGGGCUAGCGUUGUUCGGAUUUACUGGGCGUAAAGCGCACGUAGGCGGACUUUUAAGUCAGGGGUGAAAUCCCGGGGCUCAACCCCGGAACUGCCUUUGAUACUGGGAGUCUUGAGUUCGAGAGAGGUGAGUGGAAUUGCGAGUGUAGAGGUGAAAUUCGUAGAUAUUCGCAGGAACACCAGUGGCGAAGGCGGCUCACUGGCUCGAUACUGACGCUGAGGUGCGAAAGCGUGGGGAGCAAACAGGAUUAGAUACCCCAGUAGUCCCUGUCUCUUAUAC
rnacentral:rRNA from 1 species